GAGGGCUUUAAUGCGUCAUUAGGUAACCAUGGAGUCUCUAUAGCAACUAUUUAAAGUAUAACAAAGACGAAGAAGACUACUUAUAAAAACUAUGGCUACAGAAAGAGACAUUGCUCGCUUGUUAAAUGAAGAAAUAGGUCCUCGAGACAGUGACUACGUUGCUUCAGUUCAUGGGGACUACUUUUGUGAUGAAACUAGUGAGACAGACUAUGAAGCAGUAGAAGAUAUGGAAGAAGAGGUAGAGGAAGGGAA